GCCCGCGGGCCGCCGGAGGGGCUGGCGGCGGCUGAGACGGCGGUCCCGGGGUAGGUGCGGGUCCCUGGGCGCCUGAGUUUCUGAGUGAGCGCGAUGCAUGUUUAAAAGCCAGGAGGGCGAUCCGCGGAGCCAGGAGCAGGCGGAGGCCCUGCAGGGCGGCUGCCCUCUCCGUGGGACGUUAACGUUUCGGGUGAAGUCCACCAGCGUUUCCGAGGGGAGGGCGCCCCCCAGGUCGGGCGGACGCCAAUAUGAAGGCGAAUCAUGUUCAGACCCAGGUGAAGUUUCCUGCUGACCCAGGCUCUCACCAGCAGAUUCCCCUAACUGUCCUCCUGAGGGUGUCUGGAGUUUCAGCGCUGUGUGCUCUUGGGCUCCAGGCUGGGGCACCACUGACUCCUGCUGUCCAGGGCUUUUAGUGACUCUCCAAGGCACUGAUGUAGAAUCUUCCCCAUUUGAUGCACCAAGAGCAGCCUCACAUGGCGUGGGCUGACCUGAAGAGCUGCCAGGUCCAACAGGAAUGUCCUACAGUUGGAAUCAUAAAAUAUAUAGGUUUCCCAACUGGCUUCUUGCUCACAUGAUGGACUUAAACUUCCUCCAUGUCUUUUUUGUGGCUCGAUGGCUCAUUUUAAAAAAUCACUGAAUUAGAUUUCAUGGCAUGGCUACAACACAGUUUGUUUAUUCCUUCACUUGCUGAAAGACACCUUGGGUCUUCCAAGUUUUCACACUGAUGAAUAAAAUUGCUGUAAGUACUUAUGUGCAGGAUUUUGAGUGCACUUCAGUUUUCCAAAGUGACUGUACCACUUUGAUUUUCACUAACUAUGGAGAGUUCUAGCUGCUCCUCAUCUUUGACUGCAUUUGGUGUGUUUACUUUCUGCAUGUUAGCCAUUCUAAUAGGUUUGCAGAGACAGCACAUUGUUUUAAUGUGCAAUUCCCUAACGACAGAUGAUUUUGAGAAUCUUUUUUAUAUGCUUAUGUGCCAUCUGCAUAUUUUAUUGGUGAUGUGCUCAGAUCUGUCACCUAUUUUUAUUAUUUUUUUGACUUGUGGGUGUUUAGUUCUCAGAAUUCUUCAUCUAUUUUGGACAGCAGUGUUUUAUCAGAUUAUUUUGUAAAUAUUUUCUGCCAGUCUUUGACUUGCUUUUUCCAUUAUCUUCACAGUGUCUUUCACAGAGCAGAAGUUUUUCAUUUUCAUGAGGCUCAACUUUAUUUUUUUCAUUCGUGGAUUGUGCUUUUCUCCUAUAUGAUCUCCUAG